UAGGGAAUCUUCCACAAUGGACGCAAGUCUGAUGGAGCAACGCCGCGUGAGUGAAGAAGGCUUUCGGGUCGUAAAACUCUGUUGUUGGAGAAGAAUGGUCGGCAGAGUAACUGUUGUCGGCGUGACGGUAUCCAACCAGAAAGCCACGGCUAACUACGUGCCAGCAGCCGCGGUAAUACGUAGGUGGCAAGCGUUAUCCGGAUUUAUUGGGCGUAAAGCGAGCGCAGGCGGUUUUUUAAGUCUGAUGUGAAAGCCCUCGGCUUAACCGAGGAAGCGCAUCGGAAACUGGGAAACUUGAGUGCAGAAGAGGACAGUGGAACUCCAUGUGUAGCGGUGAAAUGCGUAGAUAUAUGGAAGAACACCAGUGGCGAAGGCGGCUGUCUGGUCUGUAACUGACGCUGAGGCUCGAAAGCAUGGGUAGCGAACAGGAUUAGAUACCCUGGUAGUCCAUGCCGUAAACGAUGAAUGCUAGGUGUUGGAGGGUUUCCGCC
rnacentral:rRNA from 1 species